rnacentral:rRNA from 1 species
GACAGAGGGUGCGAACGUUGUUCGGAAUUACUGGGCGUAAAGCGUGUGUAGGCGGCUCCGCAAGUCGGAUGUGAAAGCCCUGGGCUCAACCCAGGAAGUGCACCCGAAACUGCGGAGCUUGAGUCUCGGAGAGGUUGGUGGAAUUCUCGGUGUAGAGGUGAAAUUCGUAGAUAUCGAGAGGAACACCGGUGGCGAAGGCGGCCAACUGGACGAAGACUGACGCUGAGACACGAAAGCGUGGGGAGCAAACAGG